GCCUUCGUGGUGUAGUGGUCAGCAUGCUCGACGUGUGUUCGAGAGAUCAGUGGUUCGAGUCCCGGCGGGGGCA
rfam:Stegodyphus mimosarum contig26134, whole genome shotgun sequence.